rnacentral:rRNA from 1 species
CCUACGGGCGGCAGCAGUGGGGAAUAUUGGGCAAUGGGCGCAAGCCUGACCCAGCAACGCCGCGUGAAGGAAGAAGGCUUUCGGGUUGUAAACUUCUUUUCUCAGGGACGAAGCAAGUGACGGUACCUGAGGAAUAAGCCACGGCUAACUACGUGCCAGCAGCCGCGGUAAUACGUAGGUGGCAAGCGUUAUCCGGAUUUACUGGGUGUAAAGGGCGUGUAGGCGGGACUGCAAGUCAGAUGUGAAAACCAUGGGCUCAACCUAUGGCCUGCAUUUGAAACCGUAGUUCUUGAGUACUGGAGAGGCAGACGGAAUUCCUAGUGUAGCGGUGAAAUGCGUAGAUAUUAGGAGGAACACCAGUGGCGAAGGCGGGUUCCUGGACAUUAACUGACGCUGAGGCACGAAGGCCAGGGGAGCGAAAGGGAUUAGAUACCCUUGUAGUC